CAAUAUUAUUUACAGGAUUGUAUUUUUAUGUAGAGAUAGUUGAACUUUAUGCUUCUAGGGUUCUAAUUGAAUUAUAUCAUUUGAUUCGAUGCAGAUUCAAUAUGAAAUGUUGAUUAUUGCUGGAUUUGGGUCAAGUUCCUAUACACAAGAAGCAUUUGAAUACGAUUUUAUGAAUUUCUGCUCUUGGAUAUAAGAAAAUCGGAAACGAGGGGUGCUGAUGAAUUUCUCAAUUCGGUAAAUAAUAAAAAUGACUAUGACUGGUAUGUCGUACCUCUCAAUUCCCAUGAUCCAUAUAUUUUGUUCAUCAUGUUUAUCUUUACAGUAUUUUUUAGAAACAUGAUUGAUGGAGGUUUGGUGCUUUUGGUUGGACAUACAACGAUAGAUUUAUAGGUUAUGGUUCCUAGAGCAUUUUCUCAUGUAAAAGUCAUGGUUUGGUUGACGGUAGUAGAUGUUUAUUGAACACUGAAGUUGUCUUUAUGAAAUAAAGCAUUUUUUUCUCUUGUUCUGGUUCUUAGCUCCACGGGCUUCAUUUUAUAACUUGAAAUAUUAUUAUGUUAGUAUCUGAUAAUGUAUUUUAAACACAAGCACCAUUCUCCCAUUGAUCAUACUCACUAUAUCAUUCCUAAUGUUAUUUGCUUCUAUUUCCAUAUUAAACUAGUUGAUGUUUCAUAUAUAUAUAUGCAAAGAACAUGCAACACGAAUACCUAAAAUUAUCAUUACUAUUUGCUUCUCUUGUUCUGGUUUUUUUUUUUGUCUGCUACUAUUUGUGUGACUAGCAUGUGUUCCAAGUUAUUUUUUUUUAUGAGAAUCGCGGAGCGGUAAGAACAAAACAAGAGCCGAUGGUGGAUAUGGUGGAAAGACGCCACAAUCGGGGUGGGAAAACCGAUUGAUAAGUCGCGAGGACGCCACAACCGGCUAUGGAGGCUCCGGUUGACAAGUCAAAGGUUAGCACCACGGCAAGCCGAUAAGCUAAAAAUAGGGUUCAGAGAACCAAAGAGAAUAAAUCCCAUAUUUUUACUCAAUCCAAAAACUUCCUUUAUUUCAUAGAAGAACUUACAAUGUAUAGAGCUUCUUGCUAAGUAGCUCAAUAGUCCUAAUUAAUUCAAAUAAAACUUAUAAAUUAAAUUUAAUUAAAAAUAAAACAAAUAAAUGGCAUAUUAGCCUUACAAUUAUUUUUCUAAAAGAAACCACUUGUCCACGUGAGCUGCUUGAUCUUCUCAAAUUGCAAUGGAUGAUAAUUAAUGCCAUGAGAUAAGAUUGUGAGUUGCUCCAAGUAAAUGUGAUGAACCAAUUACUAUUAGCAAACGUAGAAAUAAUUGAUAUGAGUGGCUAUUGGCAACUUAUGAUAAUUAACUCUCCACUUAAUGUAUCAAAGAACCAAAAAGGCAUAAAAUAAUAGGCAAUGAAUUUUCAAGGCUAGUAAUAUUUUUAACAUGAAUUUGAACCAAUAUUGAAAUUAAUUGGUUCUUUUUAUUCCAAUAUUGAAUCAAUUCUUCUUGUAAGAGGAGAUCAUAUUAGGAUCACAUCAUUUUGACCAAUGUGAAUGCCCCUGUAUCUCAUUUCCAGUUUUCCACCAUUUUGCAGCAAUACCUUGAUAUUGCAAAAAGAUAUGAUCUCAUCCUGUGUCUCUUGCUAUAGGUUUGAUUUUCCUUUAUCUAUAUCAUGUGUGCAAACCAUGCUUUCCCCGAACUGGAGAUUACAAAUUACUAAUAAUAAUUACACUAAAAAGUGUACACGUGGAGAUAAAAUGACCAACACAUCACUGAAAAGUACUCCACAUAUUUUCCAAAUCCAUGUCCCAUGUUAAAUUACUAACUUUUAAUUCAACAAAAAGUACAUUUUUUAGCUAGAUUGAUGCCAAACUACUUAAAGUCUGCAUAGGAGACUCAGACUUGAGCAUGGCAUAGGGCUAAACUAUUCUAUACGAUAUAUAAUCUUAAUUGCAAUCAUAGUUUUCGACGUCUGUUCCAUUUCUUGCAUUUGGACGAGACUACUCACAUGAUUUGAUGUCUGAAGAUUGCUUGUGUGUAAAAUGCUUGUGAGUGCCUAAGUUGAACUAGUAGCAGUACUUUUAGUUUGCUCCAAACAUACUUCCAUGAUUUGAGUAUUUAUAACGAAUCAGUAUAUUGAGAAAGUGAAUAAAACAUCAAUGUUGGUUUCCAUACAUCUUAAGUGAUUAAAAAAUUCAUAUCUAACUGAAACAUCAAUGUUGAUUGAGAAAGUGAUUAAGAAACUCUGUUCCAUUUGCAAAAGGCAGCAGAUUUAGAAAUUGAGGCUUACCUGUUGCUGGAUGAACUGACAUUGAAGAUCAGUACUCUAUAUAGUGUAUUGUUUCAAGUCAAAGUUUAUAUAGUACUAAUCUAGUGUAUUGCUUCUUUCAAUUUUAUAGGAUAUAUUCCUUGUUGUAAUUGUUACAUUUUCUUGCAUCUUUAUCAAUUGCUUGUAAUAACAACAUAAAAGUUUGAUUUAUGCAGGUCUUCUUCUUUGGAACUAAAUGAGGCAUCAUUGGGUUGGAAAUAAAAGGUCCAAGCGCUCUCGGAUGAAUGUUUAUCAACACAUGAUCAAUCAUGGCUUUCUAAAAGGUUACAUUCGUUGGAUCUUUCAUGAAUUCCAUGAAUAUCCCACAUGGCAUCUUGCAUGAAUUUUGGCUUUUACUUCAUGAUGAUGACAUGUAUAAUCCUAUGCUACAGAAGAAGCCACCCUCUAAUCAGGUUCCAAAUGCCUCUAUCUAGUGCCCCUUGCCAAACGAAUCAUCUUAAUCCAGACACUAAUGAAGAUGAUGGCACUUAUGAACAUGAACAAGAGGAAGAUUAGAAGCAUUUUUGUCUUGGAGUAAAAUUGAAACUCAAGUGGAUAAGAUCCAAGAUUUUUGUAAUUUUUUAGAAUUUUUUAUGACUUUACAUUUUCUUUUAAAUAUUACCUGAUACUUUUAGUACUUUUUUUUAGUUUUACAUGUUUGUAAGACUUGGUGAUAAAUGUUUAAAUAUGAUUGAAGGGUUCAUUUGAUUUUGUUUCAUAAA